rnacentral:rRNA from 1 species
UACGUAGGGUGCGAGCGUUGUCCGGAAUUAUUGGGCGUAAAGAGCUUGUAGGCGGUUUGUCGCGUCUGCCGUGAAAAUUCGAGGCUCAACCUCGAACUUGCGGUGGGUACGGGCAGACUAGAGUGUGGUAGGGGAGACUGGAAUUCCUGGUGUAGCGGUGAAAUGCGCAGAUAUCAGGAGGAACACCGAUGGCGAAGGCAGGUCUCUGGGCCACUACUGACGCUGAGAAGCGAAAGCAUGGGGGAGCGAACAGG